rnacentral:rRNA from 1 species
UCUGGUUGAUCCUGCCAGAAGUUAUAUGCUUGUUUCAAGGAUUAAGCCAUGCAUGUCUAAGAAUAAAGUAAUCUAAGCUGAAUCUGCGUACGGCUCAUUAAACCAGCAAUGAUCUACCCUGGAAAGUGAGGCUUCGGCCUUGCCAUUCGGAUAUCCACUCGAAACGGGUGGUUAAUACGUGGAAGAAAAGAGCCGCCUCCAUUCAACCAGUGCUAGGGGAAACCCGAGCUGGGGAGGCGGUUUGGUGUGGACCGAAACAAAAACCGACGCCCGCAAGGGCAGUUUCAUGACAUCGGUGAAUCAGGUCCACUUAUUACCUAAAGCGCAGUUCACUGCGCGUUCCAGGACGAACUUCUGCCCUAUCAGCUAUGAUGGUUGUGUAGUGGACAACCAUGGCGGUCACGGGUAACGGAGAAUCAGGGUUCGAUUGGUACUUAAACCCACCACUGAGUAACGAUUGGAGGGCAAGUCUGGUGCCAGCAGCCGCGGUAAUUCCAGCUCCAAGAGCGUAUGCUAAUGCUGUUGCUGUUAAAAAGCUCGUAGUUGGAUUCUGAGUUGAAGGUUGCACCCGGCCUUUCUACCGGGCGUCCUCUGGGCGCUCCGGUCAGAUUGGGUACAACCGAGUGCUUUCGACCUUCACUCUACACACGCGGAAACGAUUCCUCUGCGGAAGCCUCCUUCACUGGUGGUGGAAGCAACAUUACGGGACCACAAGUUCCCAUAAAGAGGCGUCCGCGAUUGUUACUGUGAACAAAACAGCGUGUUCAAAGCAUCCGUUUGGCUGAAUGAUCUAGCAUGGAAUAACAAGGGAUCGACCCUUUUGGUCUUCUUUUUGUCGGUUUUGAUUUCCCCAAGGGGCAAUCAAGGGCGGAGUAACCAUCUGGCCUCUUGUUGCGCUGGCUUCGGCCACGUGCUCAGGAACCAAAUGGUCUCCGUUCCGUCGGUAUUAAUAGGAGCAAGCGGGGUGGUACGUAUUGCUGCGUUAGUGGUGAAAUACUUAGACCGCAGCAGGACGAACAACAGCGAAGGCAUUCUGCAAGUUUGCUUUCAUUAAUCAAGAACGAGAGUGU